rnacentral:rRNA from 1 species
AUUUGUGACAAUGCCACGUUGAAAGCACGACAUCUCGUCCGAGUCUGUCAAGUUAAGCAACGUUGGGCCUGGUUAGUACUUGGAUCGGAGACGGCCUGGGAAUCCCAGGUGUUGUAGACA